rnacentral:lncRNA from 1 species
GGAAAUUGAAGGGACACUGCAGGAAGGAAAUUGAAGGGGCUGGAAGGAAAUUGAAGGUCGAUUCGACCAAAAGGUAAGUCGUCUUCUUCAAUUUAGAAUUCCCAAAUCUCCUCUCCAAAAACUUUUUUGUUGUCCUGUAAGUUUUCUAAGUAAGUUGUUUAAAGUGAAGGAAAAGCAGAGCGGACUUAUUUUCAAGAAAAUUGAGGAUUUUGUGUAUCGAAUGGAAGAUCUCAAGGAGGUAAACACCUCUCCUUUCUCUCGUUCCGAAUUCCCUCUUCUGGGCACAAUUUCUACUAUGUUUAUAAGUUUCCAAGAAACGAAUGGUUUGUGCGUAUCAUCUUCUUGAGUUCUAGUAUGAUUUACAAUUGCAUAUUCGUUGCUUUGACUUCUUGUUGUGGCACUGAUUAAAUGAAAAUCGAUUGAAAUUCUUGGGAUAUAAAUUUCAUAUGUGCAAUCUAAAUUUGCUUGAAAAAAUCCGAAAAUGAAAAGUUUAUGUGAAUCAAUCAAAAAUUAUGUACUUUGACUCGUUAUCUUAAUAAGGGAGGGAAGGAGGAGUUGAAGAAGCUAUUAUCAUUUUUUAUUUCUCUAUGUUGAAAAUGCGUGAAAGAAAUGGAUGCUUCACCAUUCUUUCUUUCGAAAGAGGAUUGGGUUGGUUUGAAAAUUUCAGAAAUAUAAGCCUUCAAUGCUUAGCCAUUAGAAUAGUCAAUUAAAUGAUAAUCAUUUCAAAUUAACAUUAAGAUUGACUGUUAAACACGACGUUGUUUGCUGUAUAUGUAAUGACUUGCUCAAAAAUUGAAACAAAUGGCUAAUUCUUUCUACCUUUUUCCUUGUCAUUUAGAAGAAUGCACCAUGGCUAUCCGUGCCACAAUUUGUUUUCCUGUAAGUUUUCUGAGUAAGUUGUUUUCUAUACUGUGUUUAGUCUCUCAAAAGUAGGAGUGGACAAAUGUGCUAAUAUAGGUGUAUAAUGAACACAUAUAUCCCUUGUUUUUGAAUGUAGUGUUUGAUUUUAUUGCUCAAGUUCAUCAUUUAUGUUGGUAUUGCUCAAGUAUAUUCUAAAUGUUAUUUGGUUAUUUCUUGCGGGUUGAUUAUUGAAUUCCUUCACUUGGCUAUAUUUGAUAAUCUGAGAUAUUUUGAAUUCUACCUCAUCAAUCAAGUUCUAACGUUUUAAUUGCUUAUAAUUAUGUCCUCUAGAAAAUUUGAAUAUGGACAUUCUAAAAGAAAACGGAAUAAGAAGGUUGAACAAUUGAUUAAAUAUCAAGAGGGAGCCCUUGAUAAAAAUUUUUAGUGGCAGUAAACGGAAACAUAAUGAAGGCGCUGUUAUCAAAGGAGAGUCCAAUAAGAAUGAUAUCAAUGAUAAUAUAGUUGAAAAACAUCAUUGUUUGGUGAAUGAAGAGGUAUGUAUUGGGGAUGAUGUUAUGGAUGAAAGAAACAUUAAUGAAAAGGAUAGACUGGAUAGUGAACCAUUUUCCCUUGACAUUAGUGAUCUAGCAAAUUGGGAAAAUAUGAAUCAGAAUUUAAGAGACUUAAUUGUAAUGAAAGAUC